GUGCUCACUCCAGCAGCACAUAUACUAAAACUGGAACAAUACAGAGAAGACUUGCAUGGCCCCUGAACAAGAAUGACACACAAAUUCAUGAAGUGUUGCGUAUUUUU
ensembl:snRNA U6 U6 spliceosomal RNA